AUGUCGGCAUCUCUUCUUGCCCGCCGUUUUCUUCAGAAAGAGAGGCGUCCUUCCUCACCAUGCACUCAAGGCUUAUCGUGUGAACCUAUGGAUUUGGAGGAAAUUAUUGAUGAAACUUUGCUAGCUGGGAAGCAGGAGGUCAAAGAACAUUCAGAUUCUUGCAGUGAAGGCAUUCCAACAGUACCUGCUAAUGCAGUCACAAAGUGUUUGAGUCAAGAAUGUUCCGCUGAAAGUGCCAAUUGCGCAAAACUAAAACCUACAACUAGGGAGUUUUGUCCGGAUGUCGUCAAUGCAGUGGACGCUGAUCAUGUUUUAAAUAAAGUAAGGGCCCUGGGAGACAUUUCAAAUGCCAUGAUCAUGCUGGUGAAGUACACAUCCACACAUGGUCCAGAUCCCAGGAUGUUCGUGGAGAAAUUAAUGGAGCAGGAGAAGCUGCUAUUCGAACUGCGAUUAGAUUGCGUAAAUGCAAUGAUAAGAGGUUGUAGUACUUCUUCAUUCGCAACUUGA
rnacentral:rRNA from 1 species